UACGGAGGUGGCAAGCGUUGUUCGGAAUUACUGGGCGUAAAGGGCGCGUAGGCGGCUAGGCAAGUCAGGUGUGAAAGCCCCGAGCUUAACUCGGGAAUUGCAUCUGAAACUGCUGUGCUUGAGUUCUGGAGGGGGUAGUGGAAUUCCCAGUGUAGCGGUGAAAUGCUGUAGAUAUUGGGAGGAACACCUGCGGCGAAGGCGGCUACCUGGACAGAAACUGACGCUGAGGCGCGAAAGCUAGGGGAGCGAACGGG
rnacentral:rRNA from 1 species